ACCCGAUAUGUCUCAAUCUGCACUUAACUGGGAGCCUUUGGGUUUGGAGCAGUAAGUCCCUUCUCAAAAAAAAAACAUUGCACCGAGAUUGCAUCCAAAACACCAGGCUUUUUUUUCCACAGGGAAGAGAUGUAGCACACAUAAUUAAAGAAGGCAGCGGCCAGAGGGGGAUGUCUGCAAAAAAUACCUUACUAGGGUAAAAGGAAGAAAGGACUCAAAGGCUUUGUUCCCUGUUGCAACCGAGAGGGAUUACUGGGUUUGAAAGCAAUCCUAGCACUGAGGUUAAGAAAUAAUUGAGUCAAAUGAACUUUCAUUUCAAUAAUCCCAACUGAUAACACCGUUUGAAAGUACCAUGCCAUUUUCAUUUUCGGUCCAGAUAUUGGAAUCAUCAGGUGACCUCACUCUUCCUGCUUGCAUCUCCCAGACUACUUUUCACUCUUUCCAGAGAGUACCAAAUAGUGAUGAACUUGGGUUAAAUAAGAAUGGCAUUUUUCAGAUUACUGUAACUACUUGAAUGGACUUCAGUUUGAAAAUAUAAUUCAGGCACGGCUGUUUUGAAAUCUACUGCUGAAUAAAUAGUAACUCAUCUACAAACCUUCUAAUGAACAUGCGCAACUUUGUUUCAAACUCAUUGAGAAAUCCGAUGGUAUGAAUUACUCCAACUGAUUCCUCCGACUUGAGACAACAGAGUGGCGUGUAUCAAUUGAUGGCUCGCUUUCUUACAUUCCACUUCAGAAAUCAACUUACUAGUUAAUUCAACUGGGAAAUUAAAGAACAAACAUUAGAACUUAAUAAAAAUAGAUUUGCUUUUUAUGGAACAAACUACAAUUUCAAGAGCAAAUUCAACAUAAAGACAUUUCUAGGUUAGAAAUGAAGGUAAAUCAUUAUUCUAACAUUGUACUAACCAUUUGAAUCUGGCACUACUAUCUUUCACAUCCCACCUUCUGAAUCAUAAUGAUUUGAUCUAUUCUAAGAUUGUCACGUCUCAUGUCAACAAAUUACUUUGCUUUCAAUUUGAAUUUUUUUAAAUUAAUGAACACCACUGACAACGAGUUACUGAAACUAAAGGUGAUAAAAACCUUUAUUUUGAUUCAGAUUUUAUUUUAAUAUUGUCAUUUGAAAGUAAAAGCUUUAAAAUCAGAGUCAUCACACAGCGAGAUUAAAAGCAAGAGUUGAUUUAUACAUUGGAGAACGCAACUUUUCAUUUCAGUGCUUCAGUUUGAUAAGUGGAUUUGAAAACUAUCAAAAAUAAAAAUCAUGGUUUUGCUUUGAAGGUUUCUGGGUUGAAAAUUCAUUUUCCAUCAGAUUUUCCCCCUAUCGCCCCCAUUCACAAUUGCAUGGAAAGGUCCCAUUCACUUAAUGCUGUCAGUCAUCCUAAGCUUUCAUCUUGUCGAGAUGAUUUUUUUCCUUUAUGAUAGUUUUCAAAAGUAAGCCUGUAAUAUUUCAAAAUCCAACUAGUUACACUUGCUAUUACAAAUAAAACAGUUUAAGAUCAAAAUAAAAAUGGACUGCAGAAUGUAACAUAUUGUUUAAGCCACCAACUGAAGGCAUUUUUAGAGACACCAAUUUAUUAUUUACUUUAAUCUUGAUAAUGAUAACAUUAAAUGCAUUUAAGUUUACCAAUAUUUCAUUAUCAAUUUCUGCAAGUUUUGAUUGUAAAAGCCACGUGAAAGAAUAAUUAUUUGCAUGUAGAUUAACAGAUAAAUUAUCACCAAUUGAAAUGCUUGAAUUUGAGGUUAAUUUUGUUCAUUUUUCAAUUUCCACAUUUAAACUCCAAGUACACCUAAAGAAUGAAGUCAGAUGUCGGGGUAAGAGGGGUGGGGGUGGAUGGGCAGGUAAUAGGGCAUGCAUUCUGUAGGGACCAGUGUCAUUUGGCAGAAAGUGCUGGAAAUGUCAAAUGACUGUAAACUCCAAUCAAAGCUCCAGCAGCAAACCUCCUAACCUGUCUCUAUGGGAGUGGAGCUACACAUGCACCAAAGCAGCUACCAAAGGCUUCCCUUGGGUCCCUUUUCCUAUUCACAUAGCCUGAUGAAGCUCUUCAGCCACUCAGAACACUAGCAACAUUAUAAACCUGAACAAAUCACUUGAAUUAAUGACUUUGUACACUGCUUUGCACCUAUUUCAUAUUUCUCAAACUUCAUAUUGCUAAAUAUUUAAUUAAAAUAAUGUAUGUUAAUUCUCAUCUCGCAUUUUUGUGCUGUCCUGCCUUGAACCUAUGUAAUGCAUAACAAGAAUUUGAAUAUUCUAAAUAAUCUAUUCCCUCCUUUGUAUUCGAUCAUGUUCUAAAGCACUGCAAAAAGCUCCAAUUUUCAAAUGAUCAAACAAGGUAAUGAGUAAUUACUCCAAGGAUUUUCAUAAGUUGGUCCUAAAACACACUUUACAUUACUCAAAUUUUACAAUUUUGUGUGUCCUAGAUUUUAGCAGAAUCCCCAAGCUACUCUAUAGCCAAUGAAUCACAAGCAAGCAAAAACUAGCAAGUGUUAAACUGAAAAAUGAACUUCCAGUUCGAAUGAUGGAGCAGGAACUAAACUUGCAUUAACAUGCAAUUUCUUGUGUUCUUGCAAUUUGUAACAUUACUCCCUUAGGAAGCAAUUUUAUUUUUGCUGUAACAUUUGAGCUAUUAAAGCAUCUUUUAAAUUCAGUUAUAAUUUGCAGUUAAUUGAAAAGGACAAUGAAUAUUACUUAAAACGAGAAUGAUAGUGCAUAUUUCAACAGCAGUAACCAACCUGAAUGUCAAUUUUUAAAAACAAAAUUCUCAGCAACUAGUUAAAAGCAAGAAAAUGUAAAUAUUGUAACAAGCACAGAAUGAAAACAUUUACAGUGGUCUUUCAAAUUAAUCAUGUCCACUUAAUAUUUUGAGAAAAAUUGUUAUUAUCGCUCUCUUGUUUGUACUACACAGUCUUCAAUCUAGUUAUUAAAAAUAAUCUAGUCAUUUAAAAGAUGCAGCGUAAUGUAUAUGUUGAUAUUAAUCAGAUCACAUUAUGGAUACAGACCUUUGGAUUUAGAUUUGAUCUAAUUAAUGUGUUUUUUAUGAGAAACAUUGCUUCAGUUUUUAUUGGCCAACUGACAUAGAUAUUCACAGUGAUGCCAAUUUACCCAACAUAUCUUUAAACAUCCUUGAGCUUUAAGAAGUACUUCUGAUAUAUUUUGAAAAAUAAACACACCGCUUCAGUAAUAUCAAGUUACUUUUGAGCAGACAUAAAACGUGACAGCUGGCAUCACCAAAAACAACUGUCAUCUUUAGCGACUUAAAUGCAUUUGAAAUCCCUUGAAAAUUAUGACAAGGCUUGAGUACGUGAAGGGAAAAUGUUGAGUAGCUGUGAUUUCUGGCUAUUUUAAAGGCUGCUGUACAUAGGUCGACAAAAGAGAAGCUGUCUCUUUAAUGAAGAAUAGUUGGCAGGCAUUAGGACAUGGGGGAAGCCAAUAGCCCCAUGGCAUUAGCUCAGUGCAGGGCUGUGUCAGGGCAAUUAGAGCCGCUCUGCGCUGCACUGUGCAGAACUGCUGUCACUCUUAAUCUGCGCACCGAUCGGUGGCACCAAAUCUGAGCUUGGGACCACAGGAAACACAACCGGCAGACCCAUAUUGCUUUGACAGUUGCGCUCAUCUAGAAAUAAUGCAAAAUGCUAUUUAGAUGUAUACACCAUGACCCUUUGCUCCAAAAAGAAAACAAUCUAAUGAGGGAUUGAGGGGCUGCCAGAGCAAAAACAAUGCAGGAAAAUGGCUUUUUGCUUCAUAAUUCUUCACUUUUCUUCCGGUUGGAGCUUCUUGUUAUCACUGUUGGCUUAGAUUUUGUUUCAGUGUUCUGUGCCUCUAAAGCUUGAGUAAAAUACUUUAUAAUUGAAUUAAAACUCUUCCACGAUGUUAGCUCAUGCCGUUCUGUACCUAUAAAUGAGUGAAAAAGGAAUAAAGUUAAUGUCUAUAAUCCAUGGCUUAAGCGAUACAGUUACAUACAGGUAAUUGUGGUUUGUUAUAGGGAAAAAAUCAUGAUAAGGAAAAAAUAAAGACUUGCUUUUAAAA